UCCUCCAGGACAACCAGGACUGUGUAGAAAGAACCUGUCUCCAAAACCAAAAGUUGGGAUUAUUAUGAUUUAUCUGUUUUUUAACACAGUCAUUAUUUCUACUAAGACUAUGGGAAAAGUUGAGUUUGAUUAUUUUCUUAAGAUAGUGAGUAUGUAUAAGUACCACUUUUAUGCCUGGUAGUUGUUAAUGGUUUCAGAAAAGCUCAAAUUAACACAACUGUCCCUUCUACUAAACUUGGUGUGUAGAUGAAAAAACAUCUGUAUUUAAACAUGUGCCUGAACAGUAGAGAAAUUAUUUUUCAUUAUUUUAAGUUAUAUAGAAAGGUUCUAAAAAUGUUUUGAACUCCAGCUAAAUAUAGAAAUUUCCCAAGAUGGCCACAGUAAUUAUUCUACUAUUAAUUUUUAAGUACUAUAUUUCAGAAGCCCACUAAAUACCCUAAAAUAUAUAGGCAAACUAGGGAUUUGGGAUUGUGGUAGCUCACUUGGUAUUAUGCUUGUCAGCACACACCUAGUCCUGGGUUCAGUCCUUCACACAUAAACCAUACAUGGUGGCUCACACCUGUAAUCACAGCACUGGGUACAGGUAGGGCUCAGAAGUUCAGGAUCAUCCUUUGCUACAUAGUAAGUCUGAGACUGCUUGGGCUACAGACUGUCUUUACAUAGGCCAUUGAUUUGCCAGACUGAUACAGCACAUAGAACAUAGUCAGCAUAAACCAUAUCAUUUUGACUUUGAUGGCUGCAGAUCCUAGUUUUGCUACCUUAGCAGCAAAUACCUCCUUGAACAUGUGUAGACAUGAACCAGAGUUCACAGAAAUCUGCCCACUCCCCCAAGUUGUGGAAUCAGAGGUGUGUAUCAUCUUCCCACUUUGCAGACCUGUGCUCUUUGACUGAGAUACAACUCAUCACCAGGUGGGUGGUCCAUGCCCUUAGUUCUACCAUUUGAAACGUGCAGGCAGCACACCCACUCAGAUUUCCACAUUGACCUAUUACUUAACCAAUAGAUCGUCAUAAUAAAGAGCUGGUUUAUCCUGGGGUUCUGUUGUCAUUUUAGAAGUAUCAUCUACUAAUUAGCUUAUUCCCAAGCUGUAGUGGAUUUGAUUUUUUUAUGGUCACUUAUGAUCAUCUUCUAGAAGCUCUACAGAAGGUUCUUAAUAUGAGGUGGUUGUCUGCAGUAAUCCCUGAGCAGAGCUACAGUCAAGAGGUCUCCCUGCAUUGUAGACCUUAGAGGGCCUUAGCCUCUCUGUACUUCAGCUCCCGUCUCUACAGUGUAGGGGGAGCCUAGUACCCACUCCAUCAGUUACACACAGAGUACUUUGUAAGCUCCCCAUAAAGGUUUUACUCUGUUGUGGUUUUUCAGUUUGGAUACUUUGUUUCUCUUUCUACAGAAUGCAUCAGCAUCUCUGUACUGGACUAGUUUAUGGUCAAAUACCUUCAUUGUAAUUGGAGUUUUUCUGUUAAAUGUCUUAUGUGUAUGUCUGUGUGCACACAUGCAUGUGAAUGCAGAGUUCAGAAGAGGGUGCCCACGGUUCUGAGCCCUUACAUGGGUGCUCGGGAACUGAACUCUGGUCCCCUACAAGAGCAAUAAGCACUCUUAACUGCCGAGCCACCUUGCCACAGAUUCACUAGUCGCAUAUGGACAGACUAUUGCAAGGAGUUGUUUUUGUGCCUUCAGAGCUAUUUACUUUGAACAGAGGAAAAAAUUUAUAGUGUAUUAACAUGGCUUUUCACAAAAUUAACUUAUUAAGCUAUUUUUUAUUUUUUCUCCCUUCAAGUUAUAAUAUUGAAGAAUCAUGUUGGGUGUGUAGUAAAUGGUAAUUUAGGGUCAGUGAUUUUGUUAAUAACACAACUUUCUAGCAUUUCUCUGAAUUGCUCUAAUUUAGAUCACAAGGUUUACAUCUGGCACAAACGAAGUGAACUGCCGAUUGCGGAGCUGACAGGGCACACGCGCACAGUAAAUUGUGUUAGCUGGAACCCACAGAUGCCAUCUAUGAUGGCCAGUGCCUCAGAUGAUGGCACUGUGAGAAUAUGGGACCAGCACCUUUUAUAGACCACCAGAAUAUUGAAGAGGAAUGCAGUAGCAUGGAUAGUUGAUGGCGAAUUGGAGCAGACGACUUCUGUUUAACUUAAAAUUAGUCGUAUUUUAAUGGCUUGGAUUUGGUGCAAACAAACAUGAUUGAUAGCUGGACAGACAUGCUCGUCAUGAAAAAAGAAACCAUUUCUGAAGCCCGAUUGGGGCCAAACCUUUACACCUUGCUUCAUAGUAACCAGUUGAUGAAGCACGUCGUUAGAACGUUGUUGGACACCAUGUUGAAUAUUCCCCAUCGGUUGUGAAGAACUGUACUGCAUCCAGGCUUACCCAUUGAACUCAGUAUAUAUAUAUUUUUUCCCUCCUGCCUUUUGUCUGGUGGGAUACCAUACUUGUUGCUCUUCUGUGUAAUGAAGUUCAAAUGCUUGUUUGGAAACUUUAUUUAACAGUUUAGAAGGCGUGAUAGGAAGAGUUCCUUAGUCUGAAGAGUAUACAUUGGACAGGAAAGAAUUUUCCUUUUGUUUCUCCAAAUCUUUCCGCCUUAUUUAGCUUGAGAUCUUUGCAGCUUGGUUCAUGGAUCCUAGCCUUGCCCGUUGCGCAGUAUAUACUGAUCAGAUGACAAACCAGUGAACUAUGUCAAAAGCACUCUCAAUAUUACAUUUGACAAAAAGUUUUGUACUUUUCACAUAGCUUGUUGCCCCGUAAAGGGUUAACAGCACAAUUUUUUAAAAAUAAAUUAAGAAGUAUUUAUAGGAUUAAAGUGACUUCAUUUGUAUACAUUUGGAAUCUAAACCAGCUUAAAAAACAGUUUCCUCUGUGACUCAGAUAUGCAGUGUAACUGAUGCUCUUCUGGGGUACCACCUGAGACAUGGCAUGGUCAGAAACAGUGCUCAGAAGGACAUGGCACAGGAAAGCCAGAGAGAUACUCUGAAGUUCCCCCUUCUUAUUUUAUUCCCGAAGGGACAUCAGUAUCGAUGUUGAAGAAAUUCAAGAUUCAAAAGGAGAAUUUUAUAAAUACACCAACAUGAAAAAUCAGCUCUCAAUCUAGGUUUUCACAAAAGCUUGUUCCAAGUUCUUCUGGACUUGGUGUGAUCUAGUAAAGUAGAGAUCAGAAGAUAGACCCACUUGGGGAAUUUAUAGUGUCGUUGAGACUUAGAAUUCAGCAGGUUACAAACAUACGUCAACUGGGAUUCAAACCUCAGUCAUUUCUCCUAAUUGCCCUUAAUGCCCAACAUAUAGGGACACUGGAAUUUAACAAAGAUUCCUUCUCAACUUCUCAGAUGUUGCCAUACUGAACCUCAUUCAAACUGGUGCUGUGGAUAGUCUUUCCCUCUCCUCCCCCUUUUAGUUUAUGGGAUGGUUUCCUUUAUGGAAAAAGGCUCUCAUUUUGAAGACUCUACAUCUAAUGUCUGAUGUUCACGGUGUUUUUAAACCCCACAGCUGCUGGGUCUAACAGUCUCUCUUGAAAUUCCCUGUUUUUCAGUAGAGGAUGAUCAGGGUGACCACAGCUAUUGGAAAGAGAAGUGGAAUUACUCCCAAAGUAAGAUCCUGGGGAAGAAAAAAAAUCUGGUAUCAAGUUGCCCUUGAGGCCAAGCCACAUCCCCAGCAUGCUCACCACGAUCAAUCACACCCCUCAUGGCUCCGAGAGAGGAGCGAGGCCUGGAGUGUAGGGCGCAGAAGGAGGGAUAGCAGCAGGGAGGGGAAGCCAGGAGAAGGAAGAAAAAGAAGACACAUUUGGCCUUAAAGUAGAGUUCAUUCUCCCAAAGCUCCUAGUGAGGAAAUGAGAGGUUGUAGUCAGCAAUGAUUUUAUCAAAUUGGUGUGUAAAAAGAUUACAUCAAGCUUCAUUUUGCAGAGACCACCACUUUAGAAAACCAGAGAAAUCCUGUUUUGAUACUUCUAAGUUAAAAUAAUAUGUUACCGUUUAUCUGGUACUUCAUUUCUUUACUAAAUUACUUUUCACUUUAAGCUUGAAUAAAAAUUUUCAUUUGUAACUGUA